rnacentral:rRNA from 1 species
UACGUAGGGGGCGAGCGUUGUCCGGAUUUAUUGGGCGUAAAGAGCGUGUAGGCGGCCAGGUAGGUCUGCUGUGAAAACUCGAGGCUUAACCUCGAGCUGUCGGCGGAAACCAUCUGGCUAGAGUCCGGAAGAGGAGAAUGGAAUUCCCGGUGUAGCGGUGAAAUGCGCAGAUAUCGGGAAGAACACCCGUGGCGAAGGCGGUUCUCUGGGACGGUACUGACGCUGAGACGCGAAAGCGUGGGGAGCGAACAGG